rnacentral:lncRNA from 1 species
CUAUGUCUCCAUCUUUAGAAAAGCAAAAGUUUUUCUUGGAACUCCAAUGAUAUUUAGAUUUAUCACCAUUGGAACCCCAAAAAAUCUUGAAAAAUGCUUCACCAUAAGGUUAAGUAUACCUUUUGGAGGGUUUACAUCAGUCAUAAGUGGGCAAAAAUUGAAGAACAUUCUUGAUUAAAAUAAUAUUGCACCCAACAAAUAGUAUUUUUCCCUGCCACGUAUGCAACUUCUUAAUUACUUUAGCCAGCAUACCAUCAAAGUAUUCUGUUUUCCUCCUUCGAUGUAUAUAGGUCACCCAAGAUGAUUGAAACAAACAUCCUUGUUAAUCCUACAGACCCCUGCCUUGGUAGAGAUGACAAAGAAACUUGUUUCCUCAUUUACCAUUUGUCCAGAAUCUUUUUUCAUAUUUAUGUAUUUGUUUCAUGAGUCAGCUUCAGAGAAUGUUUGUUGCCACUGCUGCAAAUAAUAAUAUCAUCUCCAUAUGCUAAAUGAUUGACUGUUGGUUCUCUCCUACACAUAGAAAAAGUGUUAGGGGUUUUACUUGAUAUUCUUAUCAAAACUUAAGUUUUACUUUUUUUUUGUAUGAAAAAUAAAAAUAACCAAGUUGCUCAAACAAAACAAAACCAUAAAUACUAUUACUUUUCCUAAAAGAAAAAUAUAAACUUUUUUAUAUUUGACAAACUUAUUUCUUGAAGGAAAGAUUUUGUACAUCUAUAAAUAGAAUACCCUUUAUCAUACCAUAACACAAUAGUAUCCACAAUGUAGCCUUUAAAGAGUUUAGUUUAAGCGGAAAUUUUCUCCCAUUAGGUUUUAUGAUUUCUAAUAUUAGUUUUUCAUAUGUAAAUCAUUUGACCGAAUCGUAUUAAUAAUAUAUCUUUAGUAUAUUUUUUUGUCAUCUGAAUUAUCGUCUUGUAUAGUUUUCAAAUUUAAGCUUCCACAUAACGCCCUCUUAUUUUGUACCCAACAAGUGGUAUCACAGCCAAUGGUUCAAAGAUCUGAUGGUUCAUAUUGAGGGCAUGGUGAGAUUAAAGUUGCAACCAGUUUGAUGAUAGUGAUGAUAUUUUCUAUAAAUAAAACAAAUGUGGAGAAUUGUCAAUCAUAUUUUCAAUAAUCUUGUUGUUACAUAUUUGAAAAUAAAGUUCGCUUUUAACCCUACAAAGGAUUUGAAUAUUUUUAACCCGCAAAGGUUCGUGUAAUUUUAAACCAAAAGCUCAAUUUUUAAACGUGAUAAGCAACAGUGAUGAGAACUAUGUAAACAACAAAGAUCAAAGAUGUGAAGAAGACGGAUCAAGUGAAAAAUAUCAAGUCAAAAAGGGGAGAUUCGUUAGGAUUUUUGCCCUGAUUUUCUUACCAAGAUUAAGUUUUACUUUUUCUUGUAAGGAAAAAUAAAGUAACUAUAAAUACUUUUACUUUUCCUAAAAUGAAAAUAUAAAUUUUUCGAUAUUUGGCAAACAAGUUUUGAAUAUCUAUAAAUAGAACACUUUCUUCUCAUACCAUAAUGCAGUAAUAUCCAUAAUGUAAAGUUUUAUUUAAGUGGAGAUUUUCUCCCAGUAGGUUUUAUAUUUUUCUAAUAUUAGUUUUUCAUAUAUAGGUUGUUUGACCGAAUCAUACUAAUAAUAUGUCUUUAGUAUAUUUUUUUUUUGUCAUUUGAAUUAUUGUCUUUAGUUUGCAAACUCUAAGUUUCCGCAUGACACCCUCUCAUUUGGAACCCAACAAAAAGGAGUAAAGUGAGUAUUUCUAUUAAGAUUAUUCAAUAAUCGAUUUGGUGAUUAUAGUGGAAGUUUGGACCCGUGAUUUUUUACUCUUCACAUCAAAGGGUUUUUCCACGUAAAUUUGAUGUCUUGUGUGAUUGCCUUUACUCUUAUACUGUUGUAUUUGUGUGGUUAUACAUUUGCUGCCUAUUAUCAUUAUUUUUCUUGGGUUAGUUUGUUUCCUCUUGGUUCAAGUUGAAAGGAAAAGUUUAGAUUUGGGUAUUCUUCUAAUGCUAUCCUGUUGGGCUCUUUGAUUUUCUUGACUCUCGUUGUUGCUUUAUUUUUCUUAAACGGUAUUAAAACCUACAAUUUCUAUUCUUGAGAAGUAUUGGUAAUGCAUUUUCUGGCUUAGGAUGUUUUUGGAACAAUACUACUUGUUGAGAAAAGCAGACCACAAAGAAUCAGUGAUUUGAUCUAUACAUCUAAUCCCUAUGUCUCCAUCUUUAGAAAAGCAAAAGUUUUUCUUGGAACUCCAAUGAUAUUUAGAUUUAUCACCAUUGGAACCCCAAAAAAUCUUGAAAAAUGCUUCACCAUAAGGUUAAGUAUACCUUUUGGAGGGUUUACAUCAGUCAUAAGUGGGCAAAAAUUGAAGAACAUUCUUGAUUAAAAUAAUAUUGCACCCAACAAAUAGUAUUUUUCCCUGCCACGUAUGCAACUUCUUAAUUACUUUAGCCAGCAUACCAUCAAAGUAUUCUGUUUUCCUCCUUCGAUGUAUAUAGGUCACCCAAGAUGAUUGAAACAAACAUCCUUGUUAAUCCUACAGACCCCUGCCUUGGUAGAGAUGACAAAGAAACUUGUUUCCUCAUUUACCAUUUGUCCAGAAUCUUUUUUCAUAUUUAUGUAUUUGUUUCAUGAGUCAGCUUCAGAGAAUGUUUGUUGCCACUGCUGCAAAUAAUAAUAUCAUCUCCAUAUGCUAAAUGAUUGACUGUUGGUUCUCUC